rnacentral:rRNA from 1 species
UACGUAGGGUGCAAGCGUUAAUCGGAAUUACUGGGCGUAAAGCGUGCGCAGGCGGUCGUGCAAGACAGAUGUGAAAUCCCCGGGCUUAACCUGGGAACUGCAUUUGUGACUGUACGGCUGGAGUGCGGCAGAGGGGGAUGGAAUUCCGCGUGUAGCAGUGAAAUGCGUAGAUAUGCGGAGGAACACCGAUGGCGAAGGCAAUCCCCUGGGCCUGCACUGACGCUCAUGCACGAAAGCGUGGGGAGCAAACAGGAUUAGAUACCCUGGUAGUCCACGCCCUAAACGAUGUCAACUGGUUGUUGGACGGCUUGCUGUUCAGUAACGAAGCUAACGCGUGAAGUUGACCGCCUGGGGAGUACGGCCGCAAGGUUG